UGGGCAACCUGCCCCUCUCUCUGGGAUAACCCCGGGAAACCGGAGCUAAUACCGGAUACUCCGGUCGAACCGCAUGGCUCGAUCGGGAAAGCUCCGACGGUCUGGGAUGGGCCCGCGGCCUAUCAGCUUGUUGGUGAGGUAAUGGCUCACCAAGGCGACGACGGGUAGCCGGCCUGAGAGGGUGACCGGCCACACUGGGACUGAGACACGGCCCAGACUCCUACGGGAG
rnacentral:rRNA from 1 species